CGUGUAGGCGGCAUAGCAAGUCGGGUGUGAAAGCCCUCAGCUUAACUGAGGAAGUGCGCCCGAAACUGCUGUGCUUGAGUGCCGGAGAGGAUGGCGGAAUUCCCCAAGUAGAGGUGAAAUUCGUAGAUAUGGGGAGGAACACCGGUGGCGUAGGCGGCCAUCUGGACGGUAACUGACGCUGAGACGCGAAAGCGUGGGUAGCAAACA
rnacentral:rRNA from 1 species